CACGUAGGGCGCGAGCGUUGUCCGGAAUUAUUGGGCGUAAAGAGCUCGUAGGCGGCCUGUUGCGUCCGCUGUGAAAGCCCGGGGCUUAACCCCGGGUCGGCAGUGGAUACGGGCAGGCUAGAGGUAGGUAGGGGAGAAUGGAAUUCCUGGUGUAGCGGUGAAAUGCGCAGAUAUCAGGAAGAACGCCCGUGGCGAAAGCGGCUCUCUGGAACGGUACUGACGCUGAGACGCGAAAGCGUGGGGAGCGAACAGG
rnacentral:rRNA from 1 species